rnacentral:rRNA from 1 species
AUUGAACGCUGGCGGCAGGCCUAACACAUGCAAGUCGAGCGGAUGAAGGGAGCUUGCUCCUGGAUUCAGCGGCGGACGGGUGAGUAAUGCCUAGGAAUCUGCCUGGUAGUGGGGGAUAACGUCCGGAAACGGGCGCUAAUACCGCAUACGUCCUGAGGGAGAAAGUGGGGGAUCUUCGGACCUCACGCUAUCAGAUGAGCCUAGGUCGGAUUAGCUAGUUGGUGGGGUAAAGGCCUACCAGGGCGACGAUCCGUAACUGGUCUGAGAGGAUGAUCAGUCACACUGGAACUGAGACACGGUCCAGACUCCUACGGGAGGCAGCAGUGUGGAAUAUUGGACAAUGGGCGAAAGCCUGAUCCAGCCAUGCCGCGUGUGUGAAGAAGGUCUUCGGAUUGUAAAGCACUUUAAGUUGGGAGGAAGGGCAGUAAGUUAAUACCUUGCUGUUUUGACGUUACCAACAGAAUAAGCACCGGCUAACUUCGUG